rnacentral:rRNA from 1 species
GAUGAACGCUGGCGGCGUGCCUAAUACAUGCAAGUUGAGCGCUGAGGGUUGGUACUUGUACCUACUGCAUGAGCAGCGAACGGGUGAGUAACGCGUGGGGAAUCUGCCUUUGAGCCUGGGACAACUUUUGGAAACCGAUGCUAAUACCGCAUAAAAACUUGAAACACAUGGUUUAAUAGUGAAAGAUGCAUUUGCAGCACCUUAUGAUGAUCCCCCGUUCGAUUAGCUAGGUGGUUAGGUAAACGCCACACAAGGCGAUGAUACAUAGGCGACCUGGAGGGGUGAUUGGCCCAAACGGGACCGGGACACGGCCCCAGAUCCUACGGGAGGAAGCCGUAGGGGAAUUUUGGGAAAUGAGGGAAAGCCUGACGGGCAAAGGCCGCUGGGGGGAGAAGGUUUUUGGAAUGUAAAACCCUGUUGAUAGGGAAAAAAGAUGGUGGGAAGGGACUGCUCACGUCGUGACGGUAACUACUCAGAAAGGCACGGCUAACUACGUG